rnacentral:rRNA from 1 species
UACGUAGGGGGCAAGCGUUGUCCGGAUUUAUUGGGCGUAAAGAGCGUGUAGGCGGCCAGGUAGGUCCGUUGUGAAAACUCGAGGCUCAACCUCGAGACGCCGAUGGAAACCAUCUGGCUAGAGUCCGGAAGAGGAGAGUGGAAUUCCCGGUGUAGCGGUGAAAUGCGCAGAUAUCAGGAAGAACACCCGUGGCUAAGGCGGUUCUCUAGUACGGUACUGACGCUGAGACGCGAAAGCGUGGGGAGCGAACAGG